AUGACUUGUCUUGAUCCCUAUUAUCAUACCCAAUAUAAAGGUUGAACAGCUUUAUAAUAAUAAAAUUUCAUAAAUAAAGCAAGGGUUUCCGUUAAUUUUAUGACCUAAGCCACAGUUUCGCAACAUUAACUGAAGACAGCCGUGCAACACUUGUAAAAUAUUCAAAUUGUGGUAAGGUUUUUCGUGGAUCAUCGAAUUAAAUAACAUACUUCACUACUGGUGUCAGAAACGGUCUAGUGAUUUCAGUUCCUGCGUUGCCGCAUUACUCUUGAGGUGAAAUGCUUACAUUUUCAUUUAUAGACUAAGUCGUAACCUAACCUAUAGCAUUCAUCAUUCUCUGCAAAGACUACUGGGGUACCUAAUCCUGUUCGUGCUCUGUGCCUUCGUCCUUCAACGUCAGUUUUUACAUAAGAGGUUGCCUGCGCCUUAACCAGUCCCUUAGGUAUCAACAAAUUUCAUCUCUCCUCCACAAGUACGACCUCCUUACAUAAAACUCUAGUAAAACUGUACUAAUUUAUAGCUAAUUUUACCGUUUGAGUACCCUUUAAACCUAAUAAAGAUGAAUAACACUAGUCUCUUACGUAUUACCGCGACUGCUGGCACGUAAUUAGUCAAGACAUGCAUAUACAUUGUCAUUAUCAAUUGUAUACUUUGAAUUUUAUUCGACAAAAUCGAUUUAUCCAUAAUCAUGGACAUUCCUCCAAAUUGCCAGUUCAGCCGUUAGGCCAUUGACCAAUAUU
rnacentral:rRNA from 2 species